GUGUCAGCAGCCGCGGUAAUACGGGGGGGGCAAGCGUUGUUCGGAAUUACUGGGCGUAAAGGGCUCGUAGGUGGCCAACUAAGUCAAUCGUGAAAUCCCUCGGCUUAACCGGGGAACUGCGCUUGAUACUGGAUGGCUUGAGUUUGGGAGAGGGAUGCGGAAUUCCAGGUGUAGCGGUGAAAUGCGUAGAUAUCUGGAGGAACACCGGUGGCGAAGGCGGCAUCCUGGACCAAUACUGACGCUGAGGAGCGAAAGCUAGGGGAGCAAACGGGAUUAGAAACCCGUGUAGUCC
rnacentral:rRNA from 1 species